rnacentral:lncRNA from 1 species
CUGGCGAGCACAGAACUCGAUGUCCUCGGCGAAAAAGGUUUGGGGAGUGGACCCAGACGAGUUUGCCGUUUCCGGCUCAACAAAGGGAACGGGCACUCGACAAGAAAAAUCCACGAGUUCCGAGAAAACGCGGGAUCCGGCGGGGCUAAACGUCCCUUUUCUUUGAAACACACUUCCCUUCUCGCCGUUAGUGGGAUCUCCAAGUACCAGAAGUCCUCGAUAUCCCAUUAAUAGGUCUUGUAAUAUAAGUCACCAGGCAUGCACGACCAAGCAGAUCAGAACUGGAGCUGGCGAAGAACUCUCGCCCUUUUUCCCAUCGGACGUCCCAGUUUCUGGGAGGAGGAAACGGCUCGGGGGGCAGGCAGCGGAGUGGAACGAAAAGAUCCUCAAAAGAUCUGCGUACCAGUUUUCUUUUGAGUCAGCCCGUGUGUGUCGAAACAAAGGCGUCUUCAUCAUAUAUUCUGUUGGAGACACAAGGUUCCAAAACGUGUAGUCGGGUGCCACGCGGCACAGCCAGGUUUACGCUUGGCCGCCGCCGUGAGGAUCGAGUAGUGAUGUUUAUAGAGAGGGCGCUGGGGAUUUUUCCAUUCUAGAAAAGAAGGCGUUUCUUCCAGGCGGCGAACGCAGGGGAAGAAUACGGUUCAGCGGGACAUGGACAGCAACGACACAGAGGAAGUGCACGCCGGUAGGACCGCAGCAAUCCCACAUGUUCUUUUUCUUUGUUGGCUUUCGUUCGAUCCCACUCUCGUUCCACCGUCGGUUUGCACUACGUUCUCAGUUAAGGUUCCCUUUUUGAAGCGGAGGGCAAGUUGCUGGGGCCGCCAGCGCACAAACAGCUUCUUAAUCGUUUUCACGGUCCAUGUACGGCUCUCUCAACAGCACUUGCCGCUCACCCGGACGGACUCGCAGUGACCCGACGUAGAAGAGAGCCCAGAGAGAUCUAGAGCCCCACGGCCGCAGUAAGUUGAACCUGACACAAAACACUGUGUUCCAGGGGCCUUGGCACCCAAGUUCGAGCCUGGGGAGCGAGAGCGAAAAGAGAAACGAAGGACGACGGUUUUGGUUCCCUCAGUGAACACCCA